rnacentral:misc_RNA from 1 species
UAUUCUUCUUCUCUUUUCUAUACUGUGUGAUUAUGAGAUUUGUGUAUAUGCCUUAGAUUUGUGUGAUUGUUAUAACACAUUUCAUUUGAAAAUUAAAUUUAAAUUAAUUGAGAUAAUUGAAACCAAAACAGGUGAACUUCAAGUUGAAGAAGGAAAGGACAAUCGUAAUUCAAUUUUUUUCUCAGAUGUAGUGGACACCAUCUUGUUCGACAUUUUGCCUCUUUCAUGAUGCUCUCCCACCCCAAGUCCAAAAUUUUCACCACACCUCUACCCUCUAUUUUGAAAACCUCUGUCCUAAUUGGAAUGCAAAGUCAUUUUGAAUCUGUUUUUCAAAGAUAUGGCCAGUGGAGGACAUCUUUAUUCCUCAUAAACUUUCCAAGCGCUGUAGAAGCUGCACUUGGGAAUUUCUCAAAUAUCUUAACAAUCUUUGGAUUGGUCAUUACAAAAUCCAAGCCAACUCUUCUUUAUAUCAAAGAAAGUCUGAUUUUUCUAGGGGAAGAAACGCAGCUGUUCAAGAGAACUUCAAAUCCAAAAAUACAACUUUCAAAGCCAGACUGGGAAGAAAACAAGAUACAGAUUUUGUAACAAAGAGACAUUAAUUUUAACAGGCAAAAUUUCCAAAGGGUGCCAGAAUUUAUGCACUUUUAGAGACCAAAAUUCAGAACGCCUAGGAUAAACGGGGGCAUGAAUCUUUUGGUUGUCCAUCUUGUGAAAUCAGCUUUUUCUAGGCAUGAGGUUUUUCUGGUUUUCUUUGAUUUGUAGGAUUAUGUAAAUUUUUGGGGUGCCUGUGAUUAGAGCAUGAGAAAUAUUUUUGUGUUAUAAUUGGAAUGGGGUAAUUGGAUCUUGGAAGGAGUGUUAGUAGGUGUUAUAAAUAGCUUGUAUGUUAG